UCCUACGGGAGGCAGCAGUGGGGAAUUUUGGACAAUGGGGGCAACCCUGAUCCAGCCAUGCCGCGUGAGUGAAGAAGGCCUUCGGGUUGUAAAGCUCUUUCGGCUGGGAAGAAAUCGUACGGGCUAAUACCCUGUGCGGAUGACGGUACCAGCAUAAGAAGCACCGGCUAACUACGUGCCAGCAGCCGCGGUAAUACGUAGGGUGCGAGCGUUAAUCGGAAUUACUGGGCGUAAAGCGUGCGCAGGCGGUUUGAUAAGAUAGGCGUGAAAUCCCCGGGCUCAACCUGGGAACUGCGCUUAUGACUGUCUCACUAGAGUACGGCAGAGGGGGGUGGAAUUCCACGUGUAGCAGUGAAAUGCGUAGAGAUGUGGAGGAACACCGAUGGCGAAGGCAGCCCCCUGGGCCGAUACUGACGCUCAUGCACGAAAGCGUGGGGAGCAAACAGGAUUAGAUACCCGGGUAGUC
rnacentral:rRNA from 1 species